CUCCGGCUCUUUCAACACCACCUUCCCUGGCAGCAGCUCUAGUGUUGUUGUAAUGACUUCAUCACACAGCGCCAUGCAAUCAGCGGGUCGCCGGGCCAUGAGCAAGGCAGCGCCAGCCUGCAGGUUGAUCUUCUGAGUGAAGAGCAGCCAGUAGAGGAAUGUCAGAGGACUUUCUCCUUGGCACGCUCCUCUCCUCCUCCCGAACUCCAGAAGACAGUGUCUCAAAGACAAACAACAGCUCAUCCUGCAUCACAGGAAAUAAUACAGAUUUACAGUAGCCCACUCAGUCGGGCACAGAAAACAAGCAAAAGCACCAUAUAUUCAAUGUAUUUGUGGGAUGGGAAUACAAUGGUAAAUGGACUGUACUUGUAUAGCGCUUUUCUAGUCUUCUGACCACUCAAAUCGCUUUAACACUUCAUGUCAUCAUUCACACUGAGGACAGGAGCUAUCAUACACAGUACCACCUGCCCAUCAGAACAUUCAGACCAAUUACACUGUAGUCACAGCUAC